rnacentral:rRNA from 1 species
UACAGAGGGGGCAAGCGUUGUUCGGAAUUACUGGGCGUAAAGGGCGCGUAGGUGGCCUUCUAAGUUGAACGUGAAAUCCCUGGGCUCAACCCAGGAACUGCGUCCAAGACUGGGAGGCUUGAAUCCGGGAGAGGGAUGCGGAAUUCCGGGUGUAGCGGUGAAAUGCGUAGAUAUCUGGAGGAACACCGGUGGCGAAGGCGGCGUCCUGGACCAACACUGACACUGAUGAGCGAAAGCCAGGGGAGCAAACGGG